UUUUUCUUGUCGGAGUGCCUAGCGUUUACUUUGGGUCAUACAUAGUAAACACAGGCUGAGACCGUUAAUUCGGGAUCCGCAGAACCUGAUCGGGCUAAUACCCGCGAAGGGAACAAGAGUAAUCACUCC
rnacentral:ncRNA from 2 species